ensembl:lncRNA
UAGGGGUUAGAUUAGAGUGGUAUGUGGGUAGGGAUUAGAGUGGUAUGUGGGUAGGAUUUAGAUUAGAUUUAUGUGAGUAGGGAUUAGAUUAGAGUGGUAUGUGGGUAGGAGUUAGAUUAGAGUGGUAUGUGGGUAUGGUUUAGGUUGGAGUGGUAUGUGGGUAGGUUUUAGAUUGGAGUGGUAUGUUGGUAGGGAUUAGAUUAGAGUGGUAUGUGGGUAUGGAUUAGAUUAGGGUGGUAUGUGGAUAGGAUUUAGAUUGGAGUGGUAUGUGGGUAGGGGUUAGAUUAGAGUGGUAUGUUGGUAGAGAUUAGAGUGGUAUGUGGGUAGGGAUUAGAUUAGAGUGGUAUGUGGGUAGGGAUUAGAUUAGAGUGGUAUGUGGGUAAGGAUUAGAUUAGAGUGGUAUGUGGGAAGGGAUUAGAUUAGAGUGGUAUGUGGGUAGGGUUU